GUUGCGCAGUAUUUUAAUACUUUCCUGAGCAAAAUGGUUCUCAUUAAAUUAAGUUAUUAAUUUAUUUAAAUUGUAAUUUGCGGAAUUAGAGUCAGUGAGACCGUCAAUUAUUACUUAAACGAGUGCGUUCAUAGUCUUUUAUUUUUCUUUUUUUGUAUUUUUUCUUGUUCAAUAUUCGUUUUCGGUAUUAGAAUCAGUGCUCAAGAGGAUAAAGUCUCUCCAGAAAAUUAAGAUCACGCUUCACAGCAUCUUUGGGGGAAAAUCGAACGGUGGCUUUAAAGCCAAGAUUAAGUCUCCACUUCCCCUAAUCCACCAUGAAUCUUAUGAUGCUUUAAAAGCUAAAAAAUAAAUUUUUCACGGCGUUCUUUUCCACCAUGAGAUUCUCGGUGGUAUCUAUUUGAUGAGGGUCUUCACGAUACUUUUCUUGCUCCAGUGCAGCAUUGGAGAUAACGUUCUUCACAUCUAUCCUGUGAGUCGUAUAUAUUUAUGUUCCCUCCGAUCACCCAGUCAUGUCGUAGGAUGAAAGGUCCG